rnacentral:rRNA from 1 species
CCUACGGGUGGCAGCAGUCGAGAAUCAUUCACAAUGGGGGAAACCCUGAUGGUGCGACGCCGCGUGGGGGAAUGAAGGUCUUCGGAUUGUAAACCCCUGUCAUGUGGGGGCAAAUUAAAAAGAUAGUACCACAAGAGGACGAGACGACUAACUCGGGGCCAGCAGCCUCGGUAAUACAGAGGGCUCAAGCGUUUUUCGGAAUCACUGGGCGUAAAGCGUACGUAGGCUGUUUCGUAAGUCAGGUGUGAAAGGCGCGGGCUCAACCGGCGGACGGCACAUGAUACUGCGAGACUAGAGUAAUGGAGGGGGGACCAGAAUUCCAGGUGUAGCAGUGAAAUGCGUAGAGAUCGAGAGGAACACUCGUGGCGAAGGCGGGUUCCUGGACGUUAACUGACGCUGAGGUACGAAGGCCAGGGGAGCGAAAGGGAUUAGAUACCCCAGUAGUC